UGCAGCAGACAAUUGCGAAGACAAAAAUGGCACCGGGGAGACAGACGAGCAUGAACAAAAAAUGGAAACAUGAUAAGAAUGAUGGAUGUUGGACGAGAGCUCCACUUGCGUAUCAGUGAGUGUGUAAAUAGCUGUCGGUUCGGUGGACAGGAUAAAACAGCGUUGGAACAAUGGCGCAGACAAGGACCAAAUCAUUUGCCGUGUUCCUGUUUGUCUGAAGCAUAAACAGACGGUUCCUGUGUAGAUGUGGAUGUUUGAAAAAUCAGAGAAGGGCGAUGGCCGCCUGUCUCACAGCAAAAAAGUUUCCUUCUACAAUCAAGCGACUUAUUGUCUAGUAAUGAUUUUAAAUAAACUUUUUCAUUUAAACGUUGUAGAUAAAUCCUAUAAACGCUU